UACGAAGGGGGCUAGCGUUGUUCGGAAUUACUGGGCGUAAAGCGCACGUAGGCGGCGAUUUAAGUCAGAGGUGAAAGCCCGGGGCUCAACCCCGGAACUGCCUUUGAGACUGGAUUGCUUGAAUCCUGGAGAGGUGAGUGGAAUUCCGAGUGUAGAGGUGAAAUUCGUAGAUAUUCGGAAGAACACCAGUGGCGAAGGCGACUCGCUGGACAAGUAUUGACGCUGAGGUGCGAAAGCGUGGGGAGCAAACAGG
rnacentral:rRNA from 1 species